UACAGAGGGUGCAAGCGUUAAUCGGAAUUACUGGGCGUAAAGGGUGCGUAGGUGGUUAGAUAAGUUAGGUGUGAAAUCCCCGGGCUCAACCUGGGAACUGCGCUUAAUACUGUCUAGCUAGAGUAUGGUAGAGGAAAGUAGAAUUUCCGGUGUAGCGGUGAAAUGCGUAGAUAUCGGAAGGAAUACCAGUGGCGAAGGCGGCUUUCUGGACUAAUACUGACACUGAGGCACGAAAGCGUGGGUAGCAAACAGG
rnacentral:misc_RNA from 1 species